rnacentral:rRNA from 1 species
GAUGAACGCUAGCGGCAGGCUUAACACAUGCAAGUCGAGGGGCAGCGCGGGUAGCAAUACCUGGCGGCGACCGGCAAACGGGUGCGGAACACGUACAGAACCUACCUUGAUCUGGGGCAUAGCCCGAAGAAAUUCGGAUUAACUCCCCAUAAUAUUAUUGGAUGGCAUCAUUUGGUAAUUAAAAAUUUAUUGGAUCAAGAUGGCUGUGCGUCCCAUUAGCUAGUUGGUAGGGUAACGGCCUACCAAGGCGACGAUGGGUAGCUGGUGUGAGAGACCGACCAGCAACACGGGCACUGGGACACGGGCCCGACUCCUACGGGAGGCAGCAGUGAGGAAUAUUGGUCAAUGGACGCAAGUCUGAACCAGCCAUGCCGCGUGAAGGAUGAAGGCCUUCUGGGUUGUAAACUUCUUUUAUCUGGGAAGAAAACUACGGUUUCUACUGUAGCCGACGGUACCAGAGGAAUAAGCACCGGCUAACUCCGUGCCAGCCGCCGCGGUAAGAC